GCAGAAGAGAAGUACCGAUCCCUUCUGGAACACGAGCAAAGUCGGUGCUAUUGAUGAAGCCUGACUCCUCUAGGAGGCCAACCCUAGGCCCCCUGGAAACCUGAUGCAGACCACCAGGGGAGCAGGGACCACCCCUGGAGGACCCCUAAGCUGGGCUGGAGCCUCAGAGGACUGAUGUCCCACAUGCUCACCUGCUAAGGGGACUCACCUGCGUGGCCCUGAGCUUCAGCUACGUGGUAAGUUUAUCUGACACGUUCAAGAUACCACUCUCUUGUUCUGUCUCCUCUCUCUCUCUCUCUCUCUCUCUCUCUCUCUCUCUCUCUCUCUCUCUCACACACACACACACACACACACAUUCAUACACACAGACACAGUCACACACUCAUAUACACAGACACAUUCACACACAAACACCACAUACACACAAGCUCACACACUCAGAC
rnacentral:lncRNA from 1 species